AAGGUGAAAGCUGAAUGCCAACAGUUCAGGGAAUAUUGUAGGGCAGGAAAUGGAGAAUGGUUAUUGUUUGGAACAGCACACGAGAGGAUCAGAGGAUGAUUGUUACUGAUAUUUGAAUUAGAACAAAUCUCCUGAACAGAAAAUGAACAAGUAUGAUGGUAGAGUUCCUAUGAGUUCAGAUUCGAUGAGUAAAAUAGAGGCAGAACUUGAAGCUGAACUUGGGAGGUUGGGGCUAAACAGGAAUACUUCUACUUUGGAGAGAAGAUUAACUGAUCUUGAUGAGGUGAUGGUGUGAGUGUGUGACAGAGUAAAAGCAGGAUCUCCUUCAAUAUAUCUGACAGCUGUUAAGGUAUUUUGAUCGAUUUUCCGGGUUUGAGCCUUCAUGCAGCUGUAAUGUUUUGUUGCUUUUUUUUUUCCUUCACUCGGUUGAAUCAGACUUCAAACUUAAUUUGUUGUUAUAAUGUUGAAACCAGCUGUAAUGGAUUUUGGUAUGAGGAAGGGCGUAAUGGAUUCAGUACCUGUAUGUUUUGGCUUUGCCUUUUGUGAAUUCUUAUAUACUCAUUGUGUUUUUCUUUUUUAAGAAAUAAUGAAAAUUGUAAUGCAGAUGGUGAUGGGAUUA